CCUCAUCUCACAUUUGCUAAGGAGGCUUUCAAUGUCUCCUCCUCUCCAAUGUGUUUUAACCCCUUCUAUUCCUACAAAUUCUAUUCCACUAGCAUUCCCACCAUGGGCUUCCAAAAAAUGUUUAGAUACACUAUGUUGUCUAAUUUUUUUUACAUAUCUAGAGUGCAUACAAACGCCUACACUCUCCCGCACUCAAAGUGAGCAAUUGUCGGAACCAAUCACAACAGAAGUAGUCGAGACAGCUAUCUGAAGCCUCCGGCAUAUCAAACAUUUAUUACAAAAAAAACAACAAAAAAAACCCUUGCCCCUCAUCUGCUCCAAUUAUUUAACAAUACAACCCAAAAUUCCAAGCUGCCCCAAGACCUGAUCGCCACUACAGUGAUCACCCUCCCCAAACACGGUAAACCCCCAACACAAUGCAAAAACAUUCGACCCAUAUCCUUGCUAAACUUGGACACCAAACAGUUUGCUAAGAUUAUAGCCAAUAUGAUGUCUGAGGCCCUCAAAACAUUAAGACACUCUGAUUAGUCAGGAUUUGUGAUGGGUAGACAAGGGACGUACAACACGAGGAGAGUACCGGAUAUUAUGUACUUAACAAAGAAACAGGGGACAAAAGGGCUCAUG